GCCUCAGUCGCCUAAUUGGAUAGGACACAGACCUAGUGAGCCUGAGGUUGCGGGUUCAAAUCUCGCCUGGGGCA
rnacentral:tRNA from 3 species